UAAUAAGUGUUUUAUGGCACUUUUUAAAUCCAUAUCCACCUUGUGUGCAAUGUCAGUCGAUCUUCUUCAUGGAGAUUGACCAAACAUCAACCUUUAUCUUUUAACACUUUGUCUUAAAAAUAUUAUGAAUAAACUAUUCAAAAUA
rnacentral:misc_RNA from 1 species